rnacentral:rRNA from 1 species
UCCAUGAGUAAAGUGGCGCACGGGUGAGUAACACGUGACUAACCUACCCUUGAGUGGGGGAUAACCUAGGGAAACCUGGGCUAAUACCGCAUAAUACCUACGGGUCAAAGGAGCAAUUCGCUUAAGGAGGGGGUCGCGGCCGAUUAGUUAGUUGGCGGGGUAAUGGCCCACCAAGACAGUGAUCGGUAUCCGGCCUGAGAGGGCGCACGGACACACUGGAACUGAAACACGGUCCAGACUCCUACGGGAGGCAGCAGUGGGGAAUUUUGCGCAAUGGGGGAAACCCUGACGCAGCAACGCCGCGUGGAGGAUGAAGUCUCUUGGGACGUAAACUCCUUUCGAUCGGGACGAUAAUGACGGUACCGAGAGAAGAAGCCCCGGCUAACUUCGUGCCAGCAGCCGCGGUAAUACGAGGGGGGCGAGCGUUGUUCGGAAUUAUUGGGCGUAAAGGGUGCGUAGGCGGUUCGGUAAGUCUUGUGUGAAAUCUUCGGGCUCAACUCGAAGUCUGCACUAGAAACUGCCGGGCUUGAGUGUGGGAGAGGUGAGUGGAAUUUCCGGUGUAGCGGUGAAAUGCGUAGAUAUCGGAAGGAACACCUGUGGCGAAAGCGGCUCACUGGACCACAACUGACGCUGAGC